GAGUUCGAUCCUGGCUCAGAUUGAACGCUGGCGGUAUGCUUUACACAUGCAAGUCGAACGGCAGCACGGGGCAACCUGGUGGCGAGUGGCGAACGGGUGAGUAACAUAUCGGAACAUGUCCGGAAGUGGGGGAUAACGUAGCGAAAGUUACGCUAAUACCGCAUAUGCCCUGAGGGGGAAAGGGGGGGAUCGCAAGACCUCUCGCUUUCGGAGUGGCCGAUAUCGGAUUAGCUAGUAGGUGAGGUAAAGGCUCACCUAGGCGACGAUCCGUAGCUGGUCUGAGAGGACGACCAGCCACACUGGAACUGAGACACGGUCCAGACUCCUACGGGAGGCAGCAGUGGGGAAUUUUGGACAAUGGGGGCAACCCUGAUCCAGCCAUACCGCGUGAGUGAAGAAGGCCUUCGGGUUGUAAAGCUCUUUCGGCAGGAAAGAAAUCGUGCAGGCUAAUAUCCUGUAUGGAUGACGGUACCUGAAGAAGAAGCACCGGCUAACUACGUGCCAGCAGCCGCGGUAAUACGUAGGGUGCGAGCGUUAAUCGGAAUUACUGGGCGUAAAGCGUGCGCAGGCGGUUUUGUAAGACAGACGUGAAAUCCCCGGGCUUAACCUGGGAACUGCGUUUGUGACUGCAAGGCUAGAGUGUAGCAGAGGGGGGUAGAAUUCCACGUGUAGCAGUGAAAUGCGUAGAUAUGUGGAGGAAUACCGAUGGGCGAAGCAGCCCCCUGGGCUAACACUGACGCUCAUGCACGAAAGCGUGGGGAGCAAAACAGGAUUAGAUACCCUGGUAGUCCACCCCCUAAACAAUGUCAACUAGGUGUUUGGGGAAGAAGACUUCUUUUAUACCGCAGCCUUACCGCGCUAAGUUUGACCGCCCGGGGGAGUCCGGCCGCAAAGAUUUAAAACUCAAAGGGAUUUGCGGGGGCCUUGCACCAGCGGGGGAGCCAUGUGGUUUAAUUCGAAGCAACGCGCAGAAACCUACCCAGCGUUUGACAUGGCUAGUAUGUUUUCCAGAGAUGGAUUACUUCAGUUCGGCUGGCUAGCACACAGGUGCUGCAUGGCUGUCGUCAGCUCGUGUCGUGAGAUGUUGGGUUAAGUCCCGCAACGAGCGCAACCCUCGACUUUAGUUACCAUCAUUUAGUUGGGUACUCUAAAGUAACCGCCGGUGAUAAGCCGGAGGAAGGUGGGGAUGACGUCAAGUCCUCAUGGCCCUUACGCGCUGGGCUACACACGUGCUACAAUGGCGACUACAGUGGGCAGCAAUCCCGCGAGGGUGAGCUAAUCUCCAAAAGUCGUCUCAGUUCGGAUUGCACUCUGCAACUCGAGUGCAUGAAGGCGGAAUCGCUAGUAAUCGCGGAUCAGCAUGCCGCGGUGAAUACGUUCCCAGGCCUUGUACACACCGCCCGUCACACCAUGGGAGUUGGAUUCACCCGAAGGCGUUGCGCUAACCCGUAAGGGAGGCAGGCGACCACGGUGGGUUUAGCGACUGGGGUGAAGUCGUAACAAGGUAACCG
rnacentral:rRNA from 1 species